UACGGGGGGGAGCAAGCGUUGUUCGGAUUUACUGGGCGUAAAGGGCGCGUAGGCGGCACCGCAAGUCGACUGUGAAAUCUCCGGGCUUAACUCGGAAAGGUCAGCCGAUACUGCGGGGCUAGAGUGCAGAAGGGGCAACUGGAAUUCUCGGUGUAGCGGUGAAAUGCGUAGAUAUCGGGAGGAACACCAGUGGCGAAGGCGGUUGCCUGGGGCUUUGCUGACGCUGAUGCGCGAAAAGCGUGGGGGAGCGAUCCGG
rnacentral:rRNA from 1 species